GACUCGGCGGAGAAAAGGACGCUGACUUGGUGAUCAGAAGCAAUCAUUUAAUAAAUGUCUCAGAAAGAAC
rnacentral:lncRNA from 1 species